rnacentral:rRNA from 1 species
UACGUAGGGUGCAAGCGUUGUCCGGAAUUAUUGGGCGUAAAGAGCUCGUAGGCGGUCUGUCGCGUCUGCUGUGAAAACUCGGGGCUUAACCCCGGGCCUGCAGUGGGUACGGGCAGACUAGGGUGCGGUAGGGGAGACUGGAAUUCCUGGUGUAGCGGUGAAAUGCGCAGAUAUCAGGAGGAACACCGGUGGCGAAGGCGGGUCUCUGGGCCGUAACUGACGCUGAGGAGCGAAAGCAUGGGGAGCGAACAGG